GUCAAACUUGAAUAUUAAUACUUUUAUUUUUAAUACUAGAUUUUUAUAAAAAAUAAAAGUAUGAGAAAACAUAGUUUAAUGAAUUUCAAUGUAUGCGAAUAUUUUACAAAUUUUUUUGAAAUUCACACGCAAUAUUCUGAAAGUUUACAACUGUCAAUGGGUCCAUACAAAUUAUGUAACAUUUGAAACAAUUAACAGAAAUUUAAAGGGUUCUUAUUUAACUGAAUGUUUAAAAGUUCUCUUGAAAGGAAGCAAUCUUGGAAGAAAUUAUUUAAAACAUAGGAUAAUUAAAAAUAUGUUUAAUAAAGAACAAUAAGUAAAUGUUUCAAGAUAGAGUCAUGCAGUUGGGAAACAAUGAUCUUUUAACUAGAGGUCCAAAAUUCUUUUAAAAAAAUAAUAGAUUUUUUAUUGGUAUCCAGGGAGCAAGGUUACUACUGUUCUUUUCUUAAACACACAAAAAGCACCAAUUGGCAAGGUCACCUGUUUGUAUCCAUGAGAUCAUAUACAUGAAGAGUGAUAAAUAAAACCCAACCAAUACUUUUAUUAAUAUACAGGAAUCCCCCCUUACCUGCAGGGCAUCCAAGACUCCCGAGUGAAUGCCUAAAACCACAGAUAGUACCAAGCCCUACACAUAGCAUGUCUUUUCCUAGACAUAUAUCCUUAUGGAAAGGUUUAAUUUAUAAAUGAGGCACAGUAAGAGACAAACAGGAAUAAAAUUGAACAAUUAUGACAAUAUGCUGUAAUAAAAGUUAUAUGAAUGUGGUCUCUCUCAAAACAUUUCAUUGUACUGUACUAAUCUAUUUUCUGACUGUAGCUGACCACAGGUAACUAAAACUGAAAUGUGAAACCAUGGAUAAGGGAGGACUACUGUAUGUGCUGUAUGUGAUUCCUAAUACAAGGCUAUUUAUUUAUUUAAAACGAUUUAUCAUUGUGAUGUCGUUUCUGCUUUUUAAUACAAGGUCCUUCAAAAAUUAUUUGUUUUGCUCAGGGCAACUAGUUAUAAGGAUUUAAAGCACAUGAAUGUUCAAUAUUAAAAGGUAAUUGAAAAAAAACUCCAAAUUGAAUCUCCAAAUCUUCUAGUUUCUCCCAUUGUCUGAUGUUUGAAAACAGAUGUGUUAAUGACUACUACAUCAUGGCUUACUUUCAUUUUUUUCUUCCCUAGCUAGGAAAGGAAUUAGGAGAGCUCCCAAUAAACAUGCCUGUAUGUUGCUGCCUCUACAAACACAAGGGAGGAACAAGAACAACAACAACAAAAACCUGACAAUUUCCCCAUAGCUGGCAUAUACAAUUUAAUUAAUUUUGGAUUUGUGAAAUUUGGCAUAAGGUGCCUAGGAAUUGCUCCUGGCUUACUUAGAAUAUGAAAAUAUGAGAUAAGACUGCCAGACCUAAACUUCUCCAGAAGAAGGGUAAAGGCUGCACACUAAAUUUUCUCCUAAUAUGAUAAAAGUGCCUCCAGCCUUUAUCUCUUCUGCCCCUCUGCCUUUUGUCUUUUGGAUGGUCAUGGUUAUAGAUGUUGGGAAGGCACUGAGUUAAAGAGAAGACACUUGGGAAUUAGAUCCCUAGAAAAUGGCCCUUGCCUUAUGCCUUGUGCAAGUCCCGGAGGUGCCAUUCACAUUGUAGUCCAUAUGACCUGCCAGUUGCUUAUGGUGAUCUUUCUGCUUCUAAAUCCUGCUUCCCAAAGUAUGAGAUACACAGGGCAAGCAAUACAUUCAAGAACCCAGCUUGCUAAAUGUCUUUGCCUCCAACAUCCUUUCAAAUGAUCAUAAGUGGCAUAACCUUAGUGAAUUUGGGUCCCCAUAGAUACAAAACAAAGACCAGUGGCUUUUGACUCAGAAGACCAAGUUUCAAUCCUGACUCGCCACAUGCUAGUUUUGUGCUCUUGGUCAUGUUACUUAAAUUCUCGGAGUUACAAUGUUCUCACCAGUAAAACAACAAUGACAGAUUCAUAGAGUUGCUAAAGAGGAUUAAUUAGGAUAGCACAGGUAAAGUUCCUGGCACACAGAAAGCACUUAAUCAAUGUGAGCCUCUCUGAAGUGAAAGUAACGCAUCCUAAUACUCAGGAGAUUUAGACCAGAGAGCUAUACUGUCCAAUAUGGCAGCCACUAGCAAUGUGUGGCUGUCAAUUAAUUAGCAUUAGACUUUAAAAUUCAGUUCCCAGGAUGCUCAAUAGUCACAUGUGAUGGAUGACUAUAUGUUGGACGGCACUGAUAUUUACCAUUGCUGUCAUACAGAAAGUUUUACUGGACAAUAGAAGAAAUGAUAGAAUUAAACAAGAAUCCAAAGUCCAGAAGCCAACAUCUUUGCCAUUAACUACGAAACUCAAGAGGAGCAACUUUAUCUCACUUUGUCACAAUUUCCUCACUGGUAAAAUGGAUACUGCCUUUGCAGUAAUGUGGUGGGGAUCAAGUACACUGCAGUCACUUUUUUUUUUCCUUGCUUUAGUCUUUCCAAGACUAAACAAUGCAUGACAUACUUACUAGCAAGGAUCACUUUGAGGAUGAGUUAGUUGAUAGGUGCAGCCCUUUGGUAGUUUAAUAUUCAUAGCCAUGAUUUGGUAUUAUUCCAAUGCACCUGUGAGCAGUUAGGAACAGCAUAUGUUCAAAAGUGCAAGGAGCUACUGCAGACAGUCCUUGUGGUGAUGGAAAGACAAAAAGUAACAAAACUGAAUUGGUUUUCAUUGGCAAGUGGCCUUUUGUAGACUUUUUGUAGCUCUCACAGGGUUUAAAAUGGAAAGAUCAAAGAUCUUAUUUCCUACUUUUCCAUUUCUGUUUCACUUUAAUAUCUAAAUCUUCCUUUCUCAGGUUUGAAAACAAUACUCCGUUGCUGUCAUUUUGGGGGCAAUGUUGUAUUUUUUUAUUUAUCUAGAGCUGGGGUUGGCAAACCUUUUAUGUAAAGGGCCAAAGAGGAAAUAUUUUAGGGUCAUAAGGUUUCUAUCACAACUACUCAGCUCUGCUGUGUAGCAUGAAAGUAGCCACAGACAACAUGCACACAAAUGGGUGUGUCUGUGACAAUAAAACUUAAUUUACUAAAAUAGGCCCUUGGGCCUUAGUUUGCCAACUCCAGAUCUAGAAAAAUAUGAAAGAACAUAUCCUUUUCACUUCCCCACAUUGUUUCCUUCCCCACUAUGAUAUAUAUUUUCUCGCUUAUUUUAAUUUUGAACAUAUAGUGUAUUCUACAAAUGAUCACAAUCAAACAUUCAAAUAUUUACUUUAGUAAUGUGAAAAAAUAAUAUUCCUUCUAAUUUUUAUCAAGGCUUUGCACUUAAAAAACAAUAUAAUUCUUAAUGACAUUUUUUUUUUCCUCAGAGAGAAAACUGAGAGGAAGAGACAUGAAAAUAAAAUGUAGAAGAAUUGUAAUUUAAUUCUUGGAGGAGGGGAUAAAGCAAUUAAAUCAUUUAUGUGAUUAUUUCAUAAAAGGAUUAAUAACAAGCAAAUAGCCUUUUAUUUUCAAAUAAGCUCAAAGCCAAAACAAUCAAAAACACUGAUUACAACUCAAGAUGAGAUUUUGGGUGGGGACACAGCCAAACCAUAUCAGGUAGUUAAUAUGUUAAAUGUAAACUUGUCUGAGUUUUUUAUGGCCUAUAUUUAUUGUAUAGAAGACCACAAAAAUUAUUGUAAAUGAACCGGGGCCAGAUUCAGGAAUAGGUUACUGACCUGAAACUGAUCACUGGAGUCAUAUUCAAUUUUGGGAGGUGUCUUAGAAUUACCAAGAGAAGCUUCUUUCCUUCCUCUCUCCUUCCUCCCUCUUUCUUUCGUUUAUUUGCUCAUUUAUUUUCUCUUUCCCUCUGCUCCCUCUCUCUUUCUCUUCUGAGGAUG
rnacentral:lncRNA from 1 species